rnacentral:rRNA from 1 species
UACGAAGGGGGCAAGCGUUGUUCGGAAUUACUGGGCGUAAAGGGCGCGUAGGCGGCUUAUCAAGUCAGGCGUGAAAUUCCCGGGCUCAACCUGGGGGCUGCGCUUGAUACUGAUGAGCUUGAAUGCGGGAGAGGAUAGUGGAAUUCCCAGUGUAGAGGUGAAAUUCGUAGAUAUUGGGAAGAACACCAGUGGCGAAGGCGGCUCACUGGCCCGUAACUGACGCUGAGGUGCGAAAGCGUGGGGAGCAAACAGG